rnacentral:rRNA from 1 species
CCUACGGGGGGCUGCAUUGAGGAAUAUUGGUCAAUGGGCGCGAGCCUGAACCAGCCAAGUAGCGUGAAGGAUGACUGCCCUACGGGUUGUAAACUUCUUUUAUAAAGGCAUCCCGUGAGGCACGUGUGCCUUUUUGUAUGUACUUUAUGAAUAAGGAUCGGCUAACUCCGUGCCAGCAGCCGCGGUAAUACGGAGGAUCCGAGCGUUAUCCGGAUUUAUUGGGUUUAAAGGGAGCGUAGAUGGGUUGUUAAGUCAGUUGUGAAAGUUUGCGGCUCAACCGUAAAAUUGCAAUUGAUACUGGCAGCCUUGAGUACAGUUGAGGUAGGCGGAAUUCGUGGUGUAGCGGUGAAAUGCUUAGAUAUCACGAAGAACUCCGAUUGCGAAGGCAGCUUACUAAACUGCCACUGACAUUGAUGCUCGAAAGUGUGGGUAUCAAACAGGAUUAGAUACCCUAGUAGUC